GCUGGUUGCCGUACAUCUGCUGAAGCGGAUAAAUACCUUGGAGAGAAAAGGAAAAAGGAAGCUGAAGAAAGUUAUCAGAGAGCAAAAGAAAGUGUCUGGGUUGGUCCAAGCAGCCAAGGAGGAUAUGCUAAUGAUUUGGAUCCAUUGGGCUUUUAUGCAUCACAAUUACUAUCUAAAGCUGUGAAAGUAAAGAUAGAGCAGCCGAGUGAGAUUUCUUAUAGCUGUGCCUUGAAGACACAUUCGGAUUAGCUCCAGGUAUAUCAUAGGUAUA
rnacentral:misc_RNA from 1 species